rnacentral:rRNA from 1 species
AGAGUUUGAGUCCUGGCUCAGAAUGAACGCUGGCGGCGUGCUUAACACAUGCAAGUCGAACGGAAGUACAAGGGAGCUUGCUCCUGAACUAUUUAGUGGCGAACGGGUGAGUAUCACGUGAGCAACCUGCCCCGAAGAUUGGGAUAACACCGGGAAACCGGUGCUAAUACCGAAUACCCCUCACACAUCGCAUGAUGAGUGAAGGAAAUGUUUUUUCGCUUCGGGAGGGGCUCGCGGUCCAUCAGCUUGUUGGCGGGGUAACGGGCCCACCAAGGCUACGACGGAUAGCUGGUCUGAGAGGACGAUCAGCCACACUGGAACUGAGACACGGUCCAGACUCCUACGGGAGGCAGCAGUGGGGAAUCUUGCGCAAUGGACGAAAGUCUGACGCAGCAACGCCGCGUGAGGGACGAAGGCUUUCUGAGUUGUAAACCUCUUUCGACAGGAACGAUUGUGACGGUACCUGUAGAAGAAGCACCGGCCAACUAUGUG